rnacentral:tRNA from 1 species
UGGCCUGUAGCUCAAUGAUUGGAGCAAGUGCCUUAUACGCACAAGGUUACCGGUUCGAGCCCGGUCAGGCCAACAA